GGCCUGAGUUGCUUUGGGACGUUAAACCCCAUAAACCAAAACAUAAACCAAUCAGAAUUUACUUGCAUUGAGCCUUAAAACAGUUAACCAUGCACAUUUAUUCUUGCCAUAAUUUGCUUACAGCCAUUAAAUGUAUUUUCUCACAUUGUUGCUACAUGAUCUCUGACAUACCAGAUCGUGUUUGUUGUGUCUAUAUUACUGUGUUAUAUUCACUGUAAUGCAUCCUCUGAUACAACUAUUCAUUCCGCCUUCUUUUUUUCGACUGCUGCAAUGAGCCAAGCUAGGUGCUUGAUUUUGCACAAAUAAAAACUGCAGCCUAGUCUUACUUUCGUUAAUUAUACCAAGUUGACCAACAUAGGGCAAAUGAUCUGACAGCCGUCUGUUUGCAGGUAAAACAGCCAAAGAAGCAACCUUUAGCGAAAAGAAGAAAGGGCCCACUCACCCAGAUUUCAGCAGCUACCGGCAGCAAGGCCUCUCCUCGUCACUGCACUACUCCUGCUGGAACAUCGCGCCACAGCAGCCAGAGUAACGAGGUUGCUAAAGAAUCUACGCGAAGGAAGGACAUGCCACCAGCACCAAAAUGUGACCAAAGUGCACUACAGCCAGAGCUUCAAAGACUGCUUCAUGGCAUCCGGUGCCGGUAGCUUGAACAUUCGUCACAAUUGAACUUCCUGACAUCCUGAGUGAGAUCACGGAUGAAUAAUCUGGACGAUGAUGUGGAUGACAUCGAAGUGCCACAAAGAAA